UGUCAAGAUAUAUACCUGUUCAGGAAAAGCUGCCUGCAACGGAAAACAUAAACAGACCAAUUACCAACCAAGAUCUGCAUUAUCAGGGAGCCGGGUUAUGUGGCUGAGACGUUGCGCGUGGAGGAUCCGAAAAAGCCCAGCUGGACUCCUCGCCCCCUGACAGGACCCAGCGAUGACACGGAGAGCAUUAAGGCCCACCGGAGCCAAGUUACGUGGCUAAGACGUUAAGCAGCAAAGGAUCCGAAAACUCCCCACGGGACUCCUCGCCCCCUGACAGGACCCAGCGAUGACACUGAGAGCGUUACGGCCCGCCGGAGCAGAGUUACGUGGCUGAGACGUUAAGGAUCCGAAAACUCCCCGCGGGACUCCUCGCCCCCUGACAGGACCCAGCGAUGACACUGAGAGCGUUACGGCCCGCCGUGAGUAGUUCCACUUUUCAUGCAUCGACGUACAAGAGAUGGGCAUAAAUUCAUGGAAAUGUUAUUGCCUGUUAUUAAAUGUCCUAAAACUGUUUCUGCAAGUCAAGCGCAAAGAUGGUUAUUUUCAGAAUGUGCCCGGUUUACACCGUUGUGCCCUGUCCGCGCUCAGGUUUAGGUUGCUCCAAGGUGCUGCCAUUAGGUUCGCUUGUUUCCUAGCUCGGGAUGCAGCGCCCUGGGCGGGACUAGCGGCUUGGCUGCCCCGGCUCCAUGCCGCCCGCUUGACGCGCACCCUGCGUGCGCAGACAGCUGUGGCCUGUACCGCACAUGGAUUGCGUUGCAGGGCGGGCGCGGGCCGCAGUUCACCCCAGGGUCUCAUUUAAGAGUUAGAGCAGGGCCUGCACUGUAAGGUGGCGGGAGGGAAACAGGAAGGGCCCUGCUUUCGAAACACAGAAGCGUCUUAUGGUAAACACCUUGUUUUAUAACAUCGGCGUUAAACCAUGUUCAUGCUUCAUGCGUUAAAAAGCUUUGUUCUUGAACAUGCUAAUAGCUUAACUAAACUUCUGUCAAACUCUUUUAAACGAUCAGGUCAGGAUUCGUCAAGCCAACGCAAAGUUUGUCUACAACGUUUAGCAUGUAGUUAGAGGUCAUUAUACUCUGUUCAAGAGGCACCCGUAAAUAUAACCUGAAGGCCUCACGCUUUUAGAAAUGAAACGCUGACACGUUUGAUGAUAGGUUUGGUGGUCGGGCUAUAGAUGUUUUUUAAUAUAUCUCCCAUUUCUGCAAGUCAAGCCCAAAGAUGGUUAUUUUCAGAAUGUGCCCGGUUUACACCGUUGUGCCCUGUCCGCCCUCAGGUUUAGGUCGCUCCAAGGUGCUGCCAUUAGGUUCGCUUGUUUCCUAGCUCGGGAUGCAGCGCCCUGGGCGGGACUAGCGGCUUGGCUGCCCCGGCUUCAUGCCGCCCGCUUGACGCGCACCCUGCGUGCGCAGACAGCUGUGGCCUGUACCGCACAUGGAUUGCGUUGCAGGGCGGGCGCGGGCCGCAGUUCACCCCAGGGUCUCAUUUAAGAGUUAGAGCAGGGCCUGCACUGUAAGGUGGCGGGAGGGAAACAGGAAGGGCCCUGCUUUCGAAACACAGAAGCGUCUAAUGGUAAACACCUUGUUUUAUAACAUCGGCGUUAAACCAUGUUCAUGCUUCAUGCGUUAAAAAGCUUUGUUCUUGAACAUGCUAAUAGCUUAACUAAACUUCUGUCAAACUCUUUUAAACGAUCAGGUCAGGAUUCGUCAAGCCAACGCAAAGUUUGUCUACAACUUUUAGCAAGUAGUUAGAGGUCAUUAUACUAUGUUCAAGAGGCACCCGUAAAUAUAACCUGAAGGCCUCACGCUUUUAGAAAUGAAACGCUGACACGUUUGAUGAUAGGUUUGGUGGUCGGGCUAUAGAUGUUUUUUAAUAUAUCUCCCAUUUCUGCAAGUCAAGCCCAAAGAUGGUUAUUUUCAGAAUGUGCCCGGUUUACACCGUUGUGCCCUGUCCGCGCUCAGGUUUAGGUUGCUCCAAGGUGCUGCCAUUAGGUUCGCUUGUUUCCUAGCUCGGGAUGCAGCGCCCUGGGCGGGACUAGCGGCUUGGCUGCCCCGGCUUCAUGCCGCCCGCUUGACGCGCACCCUGCGUGCGCAGACAGCUGUGGCCUGUACCGCACAUGGAUUGCGUUGCAGGGCGGGCGCGGGCCGCAGUUCACCCCAGGGUCUCAUUUAAGAGUUAGAGCAGGGCCUGCACUGUAAGGUGGCGGGAGGGAAACAGGAAGGGCCCUGCUUUCGAAACACAGAAGCGUCUAAUGGUAAACACCUUGUUUUAUAACAUCGGCGUUAAACCAUGUUCAUGCUGCAUGCGUUAAAAAGCUUCGUACUUAAACAUGCUAACAGCUGAACUAAACUUCUGUCAAACAGUUUUAAACGUUCAAGUCAGGAUUCGUCAAGCCAACGCAAAGUUUGUCUACAAACUUUAGCAUGUAGUUAGAGGUCAUUAUACUCUGUCCAAGAGGCACCCGUAAAUAUAACCUGAAGGCCUCACGCUUCUAGAAGUGAAACGCUGACACGUUUGAUGAUAGGUUUGGUGGUUGGGCUAUACAUGGUUUAGAAAUAUCUCCCAUCUCUGGACAUACCGCAGCGUCAUGGUGUUGAUGCAUUAAGUCGGGUGGUUGGGCCAUAAAUUUUUUUGAAAAAUUGCCCAUCUCUGGACCUACCACUGCGUCAUGGUGUUGAUGCGUCAACACCAUGACGCAGCGCCUCGUUUCUUUCACAGGGAGCAGAGUUAGGUGGCUGAGACGUUAAGGAUCCGAAAACUCCCCGCGGGACUCCUCGCCCCCUGACAGGACCCAGCGAUGACACUGAGAGCGUUACGGCCCGCCGGAGCAGAGUUACGUGGCUGAGACGUUAAGGAUCCGAAAACUCCCCGCGGGACUCCUCGCCCCCUGACAGGACCCAGCGAUGACACUGAGAGCGUUACGGCCCGCCGGAGCAGAGUUAGGUGGCUGAGACGUUAAGGAUCCGAAAACUCCCCGCGGGACUCCUCGCCCCCUGACAGGACCCAGCGAUGACACUGAGAGCGUUACGGCCCGCCGGAGCAGAGUUAGGUGGCUGAGACGUUAAGGAUCCGAAAACUCCCCGCGGGACUCCUCGCCCCCUGACAGGACCCAGCGAUGACACUGAGAGCGUUACGGCCCGCCGGAGCAGAGUUACGUGGCUGAGACGUUAAGGAUCCGAAAACUCCCCGCGGGACUCCUCGCCCCCUGACAGGACCCAGCGAUGACACUGAGAGCGUUACGGCCCGCCGUGAGUAGUUCCACUUUUCAUGCAUCGACGUACAAGAGAUGGGCAUAAAUUCAUGGAAAUGUUAUUGCCUGUUAUUAAAUGUCCUAAAACUGUUUCUGCAAGUCAAGCGCAAAGAUGGUUAUUUUCAGAAUGUGCCCGGUUUACACCGUUGUGCCCUGUCCGCGCUCAGGUUUAGGUUGCUCCAAGGUGCUGCCAUUAGGUUCGCUUGUUUCCUAGCUCGGGAUGCAGCGCCCUGGGCGGGACUAGCGGCUUGGCUGCCCCGGCUUCAUGCCGCCCGCUUGACGCGCACCCUGCGUGCGCAGACAGCUGUGGCCUGUACCGCACAUGGAUUGCGUUGCAGGGCGGGCGCGGGCCGCAGUUCACCCCAGGGUCUCAUUUAAGAGUUAGAGCAGGGCCUGCACUGUAAGGUGGCGGGAGGGAAACAGGAAGGGCCCUGCUUUCGAAACACAGAAGCGUCUUAUGGUAAACACCUUGUUUUAUAACAUCGGCGUUAAACCAUGUUCAUGCUUCAUGCGUUAAAAAGCUUUGUUCUUAAACAUGCUAAUAGCUUAACUAAACUUCUGUCAAACACUUUUAAACGUUCAGGUCAGGAUUCGUCAAGCCAACGCAAAGUUUGUCUACAACGUUUAGCAUGUAGUUAGAGGUCAUUAUACUCUGUUCAAGAGGCACCCGUAAAUAUAACCUGAAGGCCUCACGCUUUUAGAAAUGAAACGCUGACACGUUUGAUGAUAGGUUUGGUGGUCGGGCUAUAGAUGUUUUUUAAUAUAUCUCCCAUUUCUGCAAGUCAAGCCCAAAGAUGGUUAUUUUCAGAAUGUGCCCGGUUUACACCGUUGUGCCCUGUCCGCCCUCAGGUUUAGGUCGCUCCAAGGUGCUGCCAUUAGGUUCGCUUGUUUCCUAGCUCGGGAUGCAGCGCCCUGGGCGGGACUAGCGGCUUGGCUGCCCCGGCUUCAUGCCGCCCGCUUGACGCGCACCCUGCGUGCGCAGACAGCUGUGGCCUGUACCGCACAUGGAUUGCGUUGCAGGGCGGGCGCGGGCCGCGGUUCACCCCAGGGUCUCAUUUAAGAGUUAGAGCAGGGCCUGCACUGUAAGGUGGCGGGAGGGAAACAGGAAGGGCCCUGCUUUCGAAACACAGAAGCGUCUAAUGGUAAACACCUUGUUUUAUAACAUCGGCGUUAAACCAUGUUCAUGCUUCAUGCGUUAAAAAGCUUCGUACUUAAACAUGCUAACAGCUGAACUAAACUUCUGUCAAACAGUUUUAAACGUUCAAGUCAGGAUUCGUCAAGCCAACGCAAAGUUUGUCUACAACGUUUAGCAUGUAGUUAGAAGUCAUUAUACUCUGUUCAAGAGGCACCCGUAAAUAUAACCUGAAGGCCUCACGCUUUUAGAAAUGAAACGCUGACACGUUUGAUGAUAGGUUUGGUGGUCGGGCUAUAGAUGUUUUUUAAUAUAUCUCCCAUUUCUGCAAGUCAAGCCCAAAGAUGGUUAUUUUCAGAAUGUGCCCGGUUUACACCGUUGUGCCCUGUCCGCCCUCAGGUUUAGGUCGCUCCAAGGUGCUGCCAUUAGGUUCGCUUGUUUCCUAGCUCGGGAUGCAGCGCCCUGGGCGGGACUAGCGGCUUGGCUGCCCCGGCUUCAUGCCGCCCGCUUGACGCGCACCCUGCGUGCGCAGACAGCUGUGGCCUGUACCGCACAUGGAUUGCGGUGCAGGGCGGGCGCGGGCCGCAGUUCACCCCAGGGUCUCAUUUAAGAGUUAGAGCAGGGCCUGCACUGUAAGGUGGCGGGAGGGAAACAGGAAGGGCCCUGCUUUCGAAACACAGAAGCGUCUAAUGGUAAACACCUUGUUUUAUAACAUCGGCGUUAAACCAUGUUCAUGCUUCAUGCGUUAAAAAGCUUUGUUCUUAAACAUGCUAAUAGCUUAACUAAACUUCUGUCAAACACAUUUUUAAACCCCCAUGUCAUCCAAUGAUGAUGUCUUCCUUUGUUCAGUCGAGAAGAAAUGUAUUUUUAUGUGGAAAACAUUCCAGGUUUUUUUGUCAAUUUAUUAGACUUUAUUGGACCCCAGUUAACAGUUUAAAUUGCAUUUUCCAUACAGCCUUAAAGGUGUCCAAAUGAUCCCAUCCGAGGCAUAAGGGUCUUAUCUAGCAAAGCGAUUGCCAAUUUUGGCAAGAAAAAUAAAAAAUAUGUACUUUUAAACCUCAACUUCUCAUCAUGCACUGUGUGAUGCACCAACAGUAAACAAUAAACUAACAUAAUGACAUUAAUUAAUAUCAUUCCACAUACAACAAUGUCAGAACGAUCCUCUUCUCCACACUUGUAAACACUUGAGCGUUAGAUUUGCAUACGUCAUGCUUGACCUUUCGAUGUCAUAAUACAUUACGUGAGGUCAUGCGAUUAUUUUUAAUUGUAUUUUUUAUUUUUCUUGCUGAAAAUAACAAUCGUUUCACUAGAUAAGUUCCCUAUGCCUCGUUUGUGAUUGUUUAAAGCCCUUUAAAGCUGCAUUGAAACUGCAAUUUUAAACUGCAUUUAAAUUUUAAAGUGUUGGGGUCCAAUAAGGUCUAUUAAAUUGAGAAAAAUCCUGGAAUGUUUUUCUUAAAAAACUUAAUUUCUUCUCAACUGAACAAAGAAAGACAUCAACAUUUGAGAAGACAUGGGGUUGAGUAAAUUAAUGGGAUUUUUUAAAAGAAAGUGGAGUAAUCCUUUAAUCUCAGAUUAAUGUAUCUUCAAAUAAUGUGUUUGCUUUGUCUCUCCCCUAAGCUUCUUCAUCUGGUUAAAAAUAAAAAGAUGUAUAAGUAUUUCGCUUCCUUGUCUUAUUAUUGGGGGCAUUUCUAUCAGUGAUGAAAA